CCAGACUCCUACGGGAGGCAGCAGUGGGGAAUCUUGCGCAAUGGGCGAAAGCCUGACGCAGCAACGCCGCGUGAGGGAUGAAGGCCUUCGGGUUGUAAACCUCUUUCGAGCAGGGACGAUAGUGACGGUACCUGCAGAAGAAGCUCCGGCCAACUACGUGCCAGCAGCCGCGGUGAUACGUAGGGAGCGAGCGUUGUCCGGAUUCAUUGGGCGUAAAGAGCUCGUAGGCGGCUCAGUAAGUCAGGUGUGAAAUCCUCAGGCUCAACCUGGGGUCGCCAUCUGAUACUGCUGUGGCUAGAGCCCGGUAGGGGCGCACGGAAUUCCUGGUGUAGCGGUGAAAUGCGCAGAUAUCAGGAGGAACACCGGUGGCGAAGGCGGUGCGCUGGGCCGGAGCUGACGCUGAGGAGCGAAAGCGUGGGGAGCGAACAGGAUUAGAUACCCUGGUAGUCCACGCCGUAAACGUUGGGCACUAGGUGUGGGGCCUUAUCAACGGGUUCCGUGCCGUAGCUAACGCAUUAAGUGCCCCGCCUGGGGAGUACGGCCGCAAGGCUA
rnacentral:rRNA from 1 species